UCCCGUUUAGCUCAGUUGGUAGAGCGCAUCACUUGUAGAUCGCCUGACACAAGAAAGGGUUGAUGAUGAGGUCAGUCGUUCGAGUCGGCUAAUGGGAA